GGCUAACAGAAACCCAGCCCUGCCCACUGGGUGAAACUGCAAGUCGAGAGCGUGGGAAACCAGCAAGUUGAGAGAGACUGGAUGGCCUGGUACUGGUCUCCUCUAUACUGAAGGUCUCCUCCACCGGUCUCCUGCUGCUGCUACCUAAGAAAGAAAUCUCACAAGGGUGUUAAAAGACUUUUGCGUUUCUGAUGAUCCAAUGGCCCAUGCAGACUGAAGACACCAAUUCAUGACUCAGCUGGUCUUGCAGACUCCACCCAGAAGUUGACUCAGUGCACGA
rnacentral:lncRNA from 13 species